UGAGGAAUAUUGGUCAAUGGGCGAGAGCCUGAACCAGCCAAGUAGCGUGCAGGAUGACGGCCCUAUGGGUUGUAAACUGCUUUUAUAUGGGAAUAAAGUGAGGGACGUGUCCCUUAUUGCAUGUACCAUACGAAUAAGGACCGGCUAAUUCCGUGCCAGCAGCCGCGGUAAUACGGAAGGUCCAGGCGUUAUCCGGAUUUAUUGGGUUUAAAGGGAGCGUAGGCUGUUUGUUAAGCGUGUUGUGAAAUGUAAGAGCUCAACUUUUAGAUUGCAGCGCGAACUGGCAGACUUGAGUGCGCACAACGUAGGCGGAAUUCAUGGUGUAGCGGUGAAAUGCUUAGAUAUCAUGACGAACACCGAUUGCGAAGGCAGCUUACGGGAGCGCAACUGACGCUAAAGCUCGAAGGUGCGGGUAUCGAACAGG
rnacentral:rRNA from 1 species